AGGGGGAAAAUUAAUAAUUAUCAAUUUAAUAAAAUAAAUUUUUAAGUAAAAAUAUUUAGGGGGGUUUAAGUAUUUUUAAUAGAAAAAAUUUAAAAAUUUAAAGUGAAUAAGUAUUGUGAAAUAAAUUUGAAAUAUGGGUGAAAAUAUAAUUUAAGUCAAAGUAAUUUUAGUUUAAUGUAUCUUGUGUAUCAGAGUUUAUUAAUAAGAAUUUUUAGGGGAAAAUUUCUCGAAUUAAAAAGAGUUAAUUAAUUAAUAAAGUUAUUGUAAUAUAAAUAUUUUUAAUAAUUAAUUUGAAAUGAAAAGUUAUUCGUUUUUUAAUAUAUCUAGUUUUUUUAGAAAAAAAUUUAAUUUUUAAUUAAUUUAUAAAAUAAUUGAUUAUUUAAUUAUUUUAAAAAUUUAAUUAAAUAUUUUAAGGGAUAAUCUUUAAAUUAAAAUUUUAUAAAUAAAAUUAAUAUUAAUAAAAAUUUUAUAAUUUAUAUUGUUAAUAAAUUUUAGUUUAUUAUAAAUAAUUUUAUUAAAAAAAAAAUUUAAUUUAUUUUAAUUUUUUAUAAAAAUAUAAUUUUUAAUUUAAUAAAUUUAGAGAUAAUGAUAAAAUUAGUAUAUAAUUUAAUAUUUAUAAUAUAAAUUUUAAAAAAUAUAAAUAAAAAGAAUUCGGCAAAAUUUUUAUAUUCACCUGUUUAUCAAAAACAUGUCUUUAUGAAAAUAAUUUAAAGUCUAAUCUGCCCACUGAUAAUUUUAUUAAAGGGCUGCAGUAUUUUGACUGUACAAAGGUAGCAUAAUCAAUAGUCUCUUAAUUAGUGACUUGUAUGAAUGAUUGGAUGAAAUAUAAACUGUUUCUUAUUUAAAAAUUGAAUUUAAUUUUUUAGUUAAAAAGCUAAAAUAAAUUUAAAAGACGAGAAGACCCUAUAGAGUUUUAUAAAAUUUAUUAUUUUAUUUAAUUAUUAGAAUAAUAAUAAAAUUAUUAAAUUUUAUUUUAUUGGGGUGAUAAAAAAAUUAAAUAAACUUUUUUUUGAAAUAAAACAUAAAUAAUUGAUUAAAUUGAUCCAUGAUUUAUGAUUAUAAGAAAAAAUUACCUUAGGGAUAACAGCGUAAUUUUUUUUUUUAGUUCAAAUAAGAAAAAAAGUUUGCGACCUCGAUGUUGGAUUAAGAUAAAAUUUAAAUGUAAAAGUUUAAAAUUUUGAUCUGUUCGAUCAUUAAAAUCUUACAUGAUCUGAGUUCAAACCGGUGUGAGCCAGGUUGGUUUCUAUCUUUAAAAAUUUAAAAUAUUUUAGUACGAAAGGAUUGAAUAUUUAAAAUAAUUUUAAUUAAGGAAUAUUAUUAAUUUAUUUGUAAAAUUAUAAAAAUUAUUUUUUUUUUAAUUU
rnacentral:rRNA from 1 species